rnacentral:lncRNA from 1 species
CUGAAAGCCCACCAGCCUUACGGCGGGUCCAGGCUUUGUGCCCUGCCGGUCCAGGGACCAAGAACAACAAGAUCCACUCUCUGUGCUACAACGAUUGCAUCUUCUCACGCAACACUCCGACCAGGACUUUCAACUACAACUUCUCCGCUUUGGCAAACACUGUCACUCUUGCUGGGAGGGCCAAGCUUCACUUCCAAAGGGCUGAAAUACUUCCAUCACUUUACUCUCAGUCUCUGUGGAAACCAGGGUCGGAAAAUGUCUGUGUGCACCGACAAUGUCACUGACCUCCGGAUUCCUGAGGGUGAGUCAGGGUUCUCCAAAUCUAUCACAGCCUACGUCUGCCAGGCAGUCAUCAUCCCCCCAGAGGUGACAGGCUACAAGGCCGGGGUUUCCUCACAGCCUGUCAGCCUUGCUGACCGACUUAUUGGGGUGACAACAGAUAUGACUCUGGAUGGAAUCACCUCCCCCGCUGAACUUUUCCACCCGGAGUCCUUGGGAAUACCGGAUGUGAUCUUCUUUUAUAGGUGAAGAU